AGGUUGGUUCUGAACAAGACCAGUUAACCAAACAACUGGCAUCGCAAAAACCUACCGUUAAGGAUAUAAAUAAGUAAUCGAUCCUAAAUGUUUCAAUCAGUAAAAGGACAUUUUUUUAAAUUAACUUUGCUUGGAUAAGUAAAGAGAAAACGAUUUUCGGUGCCCCAUGCAAUUGGGUUCUGACCCGGAGUCUUGGUCAUAGAACUAUUAAGCUCUACUAGGCAGCUUUGCGGCAGCAGUGCGUCAGACCUGACAUUGACGGGGUCCACUGGAAAUAGUUGAUACUUUACUUGGAUAAGUGGAGUCGCGAGUCCAAAAUGUGCACUUUAAUAUUGAGCUGGAUUCUCAACCUUGUUGUUAGUCAUCUCCAAAUAAUACCUUACUGACUAGACACUGGAAAAAGAUUCAUAAAAAGUUUUCGUGAAGUCCACGGAUGCAUCUAAAUUAUGAUGAUCAAUUACUGGCAUUAUUGGAAAAACGAUAAAGGAAUAAAGAUAGAAUAUUAAUGGUGGGUCCCGAACAAGACAAGUUUAUCAACUAACUGGCAUCACAAAAACCUACCGUUAGGGAUAUAAAUAAGUAAUCGACCCUAAAUGUUUUAACCAGUAAAAGGACAUUUUUUAAAAUAACUUUGCUUGGAUAAGUAAAGAGGAAACGAUUUUCAGUGCCCCAUGCAAUUGGGUUCUGACCCGGAGUCUUGGUCAUAGAACUAUUAAGCUCUACUAGGCAGCUUUGCGGCAGCAGUGCGUCAGACCUGACAUUGACGGGUUUCACUGGAAAUAGUUGAUACUUUACUUGGAUAAGUGAAGUCGCGAGUCCAAAAUGUGCACUUUAAUAUUGAACUGGAUUCUCAAUAUUGUUAUUAGUCAUCUUAAAGGAUAAGUAGUUUUGCAGUUCCGGAAAUUGAGUUUGUUGCUCAUAAAAAUUUGCGUAGUUAAAUAGUCCUUUCCAAUGUUCUUUCUUUAGUUAAAACAUUUAGAGAAGAUUUUCUAUUUGUAUUCUCGCUGCAACUAACAAGAGGCUCAAGCAAGUCCAUGGUCGCAUCUAGAGUAUGUCUACCCGCAACUGACACCACUGUGGUUUCAAUAAUUUUUAAGGCCACUUAUUCGGUUAGUUUUUGUGACGAUUACACCAAUUAUGUAUAUACUGUCAAAAUUUAAAUUGUAUCAACUGUAAUCGUAUACAAAUAUUCGAUUCUUAUUGUUUUAACUAUUAAAGGAAGCAUAACUUAAUAAACACAGAUAAAAGUGUUUCAUAAAAAGUUUUUUGAAGCUCGCGAGUUUAACAAUGCGUAAAAUUUUAAUAUGUGUAAAAUUGUUGGCGUUGAUCGUGACGCGUAAUCCGUACAAUGUAGACGUAGUCCCUGUAAGACGUAACGUAUGACGCAAUUAGCAUAAAUGUUCAAUCUUUGGUUCUAAAAUUUUGCGAGUUAAAUUGCUACUUUGGUCAUAAAAUGUAAUCCGUAUAACGCAGAACGUAGUCCGUCAAUCGUAUAACGUAGACCGUAUAACGCAUUAGCAAAGAUACGUAUGACGUCAAACGAAACGCAAAAACGUAGAGCGUAGAACGUAAGUCAUACCAUGGUUAACGUAGCAAUUCGUUGAAACUUAAUACAUCUUGUAAACGGCAAAUUGCAGAAAUACGUUUAACAUAAAACGCAUCGGUAUCGUUGCAUAAAACGUAAGCCCGUAAGCGUGAAAAGCCACAAUUUUACACAACUUUGAUAUAUUGUUUUGAAAUUAAAUUAAAUACUCUUCAAAAUUUGCGUUCUUAAGUACUUAUCUUAAAUAUUCCUUCUUUAGUUAAAACAUUUACAAAAGGUUUUUUGAUCUAUUUAUAGUUAUUUAGAUUUUGGUAAAUUAUAACUUAGUAUAAGAGCUG